AACCGUCCCCACGAUCUGGAUCCCCACAAACCAGCCGCCAGCGCCACCUCCAACCCCUCCCCCUGCCCUCCGAACAUUGUCGCCGGCCAGAUCGACCGGAGCCCCCUCCCCGCCGCUUCCUCCUCCCAACCCCACCCCUGUCCUCCACCUGCUCCGCAUGCCCAAACCCGUCGUCUCCGAUCCCGCCCCUCAGAUCCACCCCGCGCCCGCAUCCGACCUACUCUAGCUUGCUCGCUCUGCCAGAGAGGAGGGGCGCCAGAGCAGCGGGCGUUGCGCGGAGAUGGAGAGCAAGCGUGUGCUGGUGGUGGGCAGGAGUGGCUACCUCGGCCAACACCUCCUCGCCUCGCUCGCCGCCAGGUGGGGGGGCAACGGCGUCGACGUCGACAUGGCCUUCACCCACCACCGCGGGGCCGCGCCGCGGGCGCUGCUCGACGCGCUCCCCAGCGUCCGUGCCUUCCGCGCCGACCUCUGCUCCGGCAACCUUCGGACAGUUUAGAGCACUGUGCGAGAAGGCCAAGGAUAUCUUGAUGGAGGAGAGCAAUGUUCAGGCAUGCUAUAUUUAUUUCUCUAAGACGUCGUCCUUGCCAUGUCUUCCAUUUCCUCUCAUAUAUGGCUUGCGUGCUGUAGAUCCGACCCCCCAUCAUUCCUUCCUUGUGUCGGCGGAAUCGCAAUGGCAAGGGACGACUGACGUGCGUACUGGACCAGGAGGUGGAGAACCGACCAACCUCGACAUGGCCUCCCUGCCAUGCCAUGGUGACCUCCUCUCUGCUCUUUCCUCUGUUUCAUUGCCGUGGAUGGUUGUUUCUCAGUCCAGCUGAGACAUGUGUAACACACAUCUCAACACAUCUAGUAGCAGAGCAACAAUGAUAGAAAGAAAAAACACCUUUGUGAUUGUUUCAGUCUUUAAUUUAGAUCGAAUUGUUCUGUUCAUAUUUGGGGUGGUUCUCGUAUAGAGAUGUAUUUCUGUUGGAUUUAUGUCUACAGAAGCUGCAUGUAGAAUUCUGGCCUCUUACCUUUUUCAUUGAAAGUAAAAGGGAAAAGGUUAAUUUUAUGUAUUACCAUGGCCAUACUAGAAGGUUAAUUUUUUUUGAAACAGAUUACAAGGGUAAUUUGAGUUAUUCGUUAUCUCCAAAGCUAAAUUGCUGUAGUUCUGCUGACCAGCCUGUGUGUUUCACUUCAAGUGUGAGGAGGAGCCUGUGGCUGACACUGCAUCAGCACAGAUGCUGCAACCCAUCAAGGGCGACUUCCUCGGCCUCUGUUACGGCCGAUGCAGCAAUAACUCAGGAAACCAUUCAUGCCUCGCUGUCACUUCUACGUUUUCUUUCUCUGUUAUAGUUACUUAUGUGAUUUAUUCAUGUAAAAUCUCUACUUUAUGCCAAUAGCUGCCUGUACCAUUGUUCUACUAUCUGUGUGAUGCUGAACAAUAUGUUGUUAAUCUGUUGCUAAAUUCUCACCAAAUGCACAUUUUAUUUCCUUAGACCUAUUGUUAAACAAAGGCUUAACUUGUAGCAUUUUUUCUUAAAAAUAAGCAAAGAAUUCCUGCAGUUUUUCUGUUGGAAAUGAGUUAUUAGUUGUCACCUACCAAUGUUGGAAUGUAGAGUAAGGUCAGGUUGUUGUGCAUGUAACUUUAUUUCUUAUCAAUAUCAUCAGACAUCAGAUGAGCCAUGGUCUUGUGCAAGCAUUUCUCUUUUGAAUGCAGCCAUGGUCUUGCAAGCAAUUGCGGCUGGUAGAACAUGCUGCUAUUAUGCUGUACUGCUUGCAGCAGUUCUUGCUUGAUAGUGGCAGUAGUAACUCAAGUAAGGUCCAAUAAUAAGUUAUUUAACAUGUGUUCUUGUUCAUUAAUAUCAUAAAAUUAGGAGUAAGGAUUUAGCUUUCAUUUUGCAUUCACUCAACGAUUGUGGCAGUGAAAUCAAAUGUCUCCUCUAUUGUUUGAAUCCACUCUGGUUAGAUGACAUCUUGUUAGCGUGGCAUGAUGAAAGAUUCAGGUUUUUUCUAUUGAUUUGUUUCAUCAUCAUUAUGCAUGUGUACUUGGUGAAUCAGGAACCCAUUAGGAGCCAAAUGCCUCUCUUAAAUACGUUUAUUAAUAUUCUAUUUGUAUUUUAGUUUGUGGCUUAAGGAACCGAGCAAGGGAAACCAUUAUACCUUGUUCUUUGUUUUGUAUAUAAACUUUAAUUUUGUCGGAUCAUUUAUGUCAAGUAAUAGUUCUUUGUUCUGUGUUAUGGUAAUAGAAGAUAUGAUUAUAACAAUUUCUUUUACUUAGGCGGGCUAGGUACAAGAAAAACAAUUGCUGCCACACAAGACAACCAAGGUCCGCUCUGCUCUAGUGCUAUCCCUCGCUCUAGCUCCGUUCGUUGCUGCACAAGAAAAACAGAGACAAGCGAAUUUUUUUUAUCUAAGGUCCUGUUAUUACUACCUAUAUAUGACAUCGCUACUGGAUUGCCUAGCGCCCCUGUUCAUGAUGGGUUAAACUUGUAUUCGCUCCUGCUGCUGCACUUUGAUGAUCAUGAGUGUGAUGCAUUUUGAUGAUCUCCUUGUACCAGAUGAGUCUGUCGAUGAAGCGACAGUGUCUCCUCUAGAGGGUGACGGCGGCGGCGCCUGUGUGCGGCUUCGACUACAACCUCCUCUCCGGAGCUCCAGUCCUAAGAAAGUUGGAAGUGCGAAGACGUGAAGAAAAGCGCGAAGCUGUGAAGUGUGACUCAGCAAAGAGUUUUCUGUUCCAUUUGACUGUAAUAUUGUAAUAGCUGGUAUACCUAGGUUAUGAUAGUCUAUAGAAAUUGUAAUACACUAAUCUAGUGUUAUUUGAUGAAUUUCACAUGUUCUCUUGUUUGGAAUAUUUGAUUAUGAAUGUUAUUUGAUAGUGUGUGA